UGGUAAAGAAGUCCUUUUGCACAUUUCUGCAGAAAUUCCUAUGUUCAGCUUAACUCCCUUCCUUUUCCAUACAUGCUGCAUGAAAUACAUGAAAUACUGUGGUGUUCUUUUUACUUUCUUUUUUUUUCUCUCUCUUUUUUUUUUUUUUUUCCCCAGUAUGAUCAAUUCUGCCAAUGACUGAACUCUACAGCCAUUAAACUUCCAGGAUCUUGUAUGUCUUUUCUUCAAUGUAAUUUGUUUGCUAUGUAACCUAAAUAAUGUUCCCGAUGUGCUUCCAGAAAUCUGAGCUUGCAUUUUUAUGCUCACUUUAGGGGAGCCCAGAGCAUAACUCCAAGGUUGCAAGAAAAAAUUGGAUUCAGUUUUCUUCUUUGUCUAGGAUAUGAACUUCUCAGUGGAGAGAAGAAAGCACUGGGAUUGUAUUGAUUAUUUCACAGUCAGGUAAUUGCAGGAAAAUAUCUACCUCUAUGAAGCAGGCCAAAUGCACAUCCCUGCAGUCAGUCUAGUUUCCUAAAGGCAAGACCUAUUUUAUCCUAAUGACUUUAGCAAGUCUAUUUUUAUUGGGUAACUGGAAAAUGUUCUUUCCUCUCAACUAGCGGAACGAAAUAACUCUUUCUGAUGUCUGUAAUUCAAGCUGCUCUCAUCACCAAUCCAUUUAGAAAAGGAAUCCUGCAUCUGCGAUUGUGGAUUAAAUUCUUUUGUCUGUAUGCUGGCUUUGAGGGAGACUAGCACUCCCAAAUCAUUGAAGUGCUUCUACAAACACUGUGCAGAACACACAGCUCUGAGAAGAGAGCCCGUGUUCCUGAACAGCUGUGUUUGCUGUUCUGAGUCCAUUAGUGAGAAGUGUGAUGUUUCACAGUAGUUGCUGCACAGUGAAAAUGGAUUAUUGACAGAAACAUUACUAUAUUUGAUAUAUUGAAGAUCUUUUUGCUUAGAAGAUGUGAGUGACUUUGAGAAUGGUGUUUUACUAACAGUAGUGUAUGUUUCAGUGCUGGUUUGACCACGUGUAUCAAGUGUACUUGUAUAUAUGGGCUUCUGUCCCCAGAUUCCCUGUAUAA